GUGAUUUAGCAGCACAUAUAUUAAAUUGGAUCAAAACAGAAAAGAUUAACAAGGCCCUUGUGAAAGGAUGACACAGAAACUCAUGAAGUGUUCCAUAUUUUC